rnacentral:rRNA from 1 species
GGGGAUCGAAAGACCUUAUGCUUUUGGAGCGGCCCAUGUCUGAUUAGCUAGUUGGUAAGGUAAUGGCUUACCAAGGCAACRAUCAGUAGUUGGUCUGAGAGGACGRCCAGCCACACUGGGACUGAGACACGGCCCAGACUCCUACGGGAGGCAGCAGUGGGGAAUUUUGGACAAUGGGCGCAAGCCUGAUCCAGCAAUGCCGCGUGAGUGAAGAAGGCCUUCGGGUUGUAAAGCUCUUUCAGUCGAGAAGAAAAGGUUGUGACUAAUAAUC